CUACGGGGGGCAGCAGCAGGGAAUAUUGCACAAUGGACGGAAGUCUGAUGCAGCGACGCCGCGUGGAUGAUGAAGGCCCUCGGGUUGUAAAAUCCUUUUCAGGGGGACGAGGAAGGACGGUACCCUUGGAAUAAGCGUCGGCUAACUACGUGCCAGCAGCCGCGGUAAGACGUAGGACGCAAGCGUUAUCCGGAUUUACUGGGCGUAAAGCGUCUGUAGGCGGAAUGGUAAGUUGGACGUGAAAGCUCCGGGCUCAACCCGGAGAGGUCGUUCAAUACUGCCAAACUAGAGGGCAUCAGAGGAGCGUGGAAUUUCCGGUGUAGCGGUAAAAUGCGCAGAUAUCGGAAGGAACACCAAUGGCGAAGGCAGCGCUCUGGGAUGAACCUGACGCUAAGAGACGAAAGCUAGGGGAGCGAACAGGAUUAGAUACCCGCGUAGUC
rnacentral:rRNA from 1 species